AGAAUCAACGCUGGCGGCGUGCCUAACACAUGCAAGUCGCACGAGAAAGGGUAGCAAUACCUGAGUAAAGUGGCGCACGGGUGAGUAACACGUGAAUCAUCUACCUCCGAGUGGGGAAUAACUGAGAGAAAUCUUAGCUAAUACCGCAUAACACUUACGAGUCAAAGCAGCAAUGCGCUUGGAGAGGAGUUCGCGGCAGAUUAGUUAGUUGGCGGGGUAAUGGCCCACCAAGACGAUGAUCUGUA
rnacentral:rRNA from 1 species